rnacentral:rRNA from 1 species
UACAGAGGGGGCAAGCGUUGUUCGGAAUUACUGGGCGUAAAGGGCUCGUAGGCGGCCAACUAAGUCAGACGUGAAAUCCCUCGGCUUAACCGGGGGACUGCGUCUGAUACUGGAUGGCUUGAGGUUGGGAGAGGGAUGCGGAAUUCCAGGUGUAGCGGUGAAAUGCGUAGAUAUCUGGAGGAACACCGGUGGCGAAGGCGGCAUCCUGGACCAAUUCUGACGCUGAGGAGCGAAAGCCAGGGGAGCAAACGGG